GUGUGAGCCAUCUCUAAGUGCUGGGAUGAGGGUGUGAGCCAUCUCUAAGUGCUGGGAUGGGGGGUGUGAGCCAUCUCUAAGUGCUGGGAUGAGGUGUGAGCCAUCUCUAAGUGCUGGGAUGAGGUGUGAGCCAUCUCUAAGUGCUGGGAUGAGGGGUGAGUCAUCUCUAAGUGCUGGGAUGAGGGUGUGAGCCAUCUCUAAGUGCUGGGAUGAGGGUGUGAGCCAUCUCUAAGUGCUGGGAUGAGGGUGUGAGCCAUCUCUAAGUGCUGGGAUGAGGGUGUGAGCCAUCUCUAAGUGCUGAGAUGAGGGUGUGAGCCAUCUCUAAGUGCUGAGAUGAGGUGUGAGCCAUCUCUAAGUGCUGGGAUGGGGGUGUGAGCCAUCUCUAAGUGCUGGGAUGAGGGUGUGAGCCAUCUCUAAGUGCUGGGAUGAGGGUGUGAGCCAUCUCUAAGUGCUGGGAUGGGGGUGUGAGCCAUCUCUAAGUGCUGGGAUGAGGUGUGAGCCAUCUCUAAGUGCUGAGAUGAGGGUGUGAGCCAUCUCUAAGUGCUGGGAUGAGGUGUGAGCCAUCUCUAAGUGCUGGGAUGAGGGUGUGAGCCAUCUCUAAGUGCUGGGAUGAGGGUGUGAGCCAUCUCUAAGUGCUGGGAUGAGGGUGUGAGCCAUCUCUAAGUGCUGGGAUGAGGGUGUGAGCCAUCUCUAAGUGCUGGGAUGAGGGUGUGAGCCAUCUCUAAGUGCUGGGAUGAGGGUGUGAGCCAUCUCUAAGUGCUGAGAUGAGGUGUGAGCCAUCUCUAAGUGCUGGGAUGAGGUGUGAGCCAUCUCUAAGUGCUGAGAUGAGGUGUGAGCCAUCUCUAAGUGCUGGGAUGAGGGUGUGAGCCAGCACACCUGGCUUAUGCUGUGCUCAGGCUCAAACACGGGGCUUUCUGCAUGCUAGACAGACACUCUGUUAAUGG